AUGGAAGAAAGGCACCCGAGCGGCGCACACAAAGCAACAGACGCAAACACCCUGGAUCUUCUUUUCCCAGCUGCAAAAUUGCUGCCGCAAGCCUCAACUAUUUCGGACCAUUGCCCCUUGAUGCUGGUCAAUGACGGCAUCAUAUGCAUCAACCGUCGGUUCCGUUUCGAGAGCUACUGGCAGUUCAUUGCCGGCUUCAACGAGGUGGUGCAACAAGCUUGGAUGGAGGGCACAGGCAGCAGAUGCCCAAUCGCUCGCCUGAACACAAAGCUUUGGCGCACAAGCAAAGCGCUUAGGAACUGGAGCAGGGUGCAUGUGGGCGAUUUGCAGCGGCAACUUGGGAUCGCCACGGAGUUGAUCUUUCAGCUGGAAACUGCUCAGGAGUUCCGCCAACUCACUGAAGAUGAGCGCGAGCUGCGUACCAAACUUAAGUCUAGGACAUUGGGGUUGGCUGUGCUACUUAAGAUCAAGAGAAGGCAACGCAGCAGGGUCUUAUGGCUUAAGGCCGGGGAUGCCAACACAAAGUUCUUUCACAGGAAAGCCAAUGCUCGGCACAAGAGGAACACAAUCCAUGUCUUGCAUGGGGCGCAGGGGCCCGUUACCUCGCCUGAAGCAAUGACACAAUUGGCACACUCGUAUUUCACGGAGAUUUUUGGACAAAUUCAGACUCCCACUACCGCCUUCGACUGGGAUGAGCUUGAGCUUGAGCAGACUGGUAGCUGGGUGGCCACUACCAACAUCAAGGAAUGGAUGAUAUCUUGCUGGAGUAAAGCCGCAUCUGAUAAGAGGAAAGGAGUUCUUUCUUUGAUGCAUCUAGUCUCCUGGGAGAUAUGGCGUGAGCGCAACCGACCGAUUUUCCAGGACUUACGGAUGGAGAUACGCACCUUCGUGCAACGACUGAAGGACGAAAUCACUAUGUGGAACAUGGCAGAAGCUGGAAUUCCUUUUGACCCGGCCUCUCCCGAAUCCCACCGCCACGGCUGCCGCUCGCCGUCCGUACGUGUCGUCGGCGCCAGCUUCCCCCCACCACCGCCAUGCUCAAGGUACUCACUCAUCCCCCCCUUCCCCUUCCCUUCCCUUCCCUUCCUGCGGUCCUGUCUUCAACCUCUCUGGUGUCCUCUUCUGACCUUUCGUCUUACUUCCUCCGGCCUCGUCAAUGGGUACGACGACGGAAGCCAGUCCGGCCUUCCCUUCAACACAAGUGCACCAGCCAACUGGCGCAAGCUGUACAUUGACGGCAUACAGUUUCGGUCUUCCAGUCAACAUAAGUUAUCAUUCGUACUAGUCCGUUUUUCUGUGACACGAUUAGCACGACUUAAGAGGCACACCCAUCUACGUGCCAGUUGCCUGAAUCAGGAGGGCGAGGAAGCAGAAUUCAGCCGUGUAGCGCAACAUACUCAUGAAGAAUUUACUCCUGCACGCGCUAUGCAGGUGGAGGAGAAGCAGUUCGCGUGGAAGUUCCGUGUCUCUGAUGCCUGA
rnacentral:rRNA from 1 species